rnacentral:rRNA from 1 species
AUUGAACGCUGGCGGCAGGCUUAACACAUGCAAGUCGAGCGGAGCGAAGGAGCUUGCACCUUAGCUGAGCGGCGGACGGGUGAGUAAUGCUUAGGAAUCUGCCUAUUAGUGGGGGACAACGUUUCGAAAGGAACGCUAAUACCGCAUACGUCCUACGGGAGAAAGCAGGGGAUCUUCGGACCUUGUGCUAUGAGAUGAGCCUAAGUUGGAUUAGCUAGUUGGUGGGGUAAAGGCCUACCAAGGCGACGAGCUGUAGCGGGUCUGAGAGGAUGACCCGCCACACUGGGACUGAGACACGGCCCAGACUCCUACGGGAGGCAGCAGUGGGGAAUAUUGGACAAUGGGCGAAAGCCUGAUCCAGCCAUGCCGCGUGUGUGAAGAAGGCCUUUUGGUUGUAAAGCACUUUAAGCGAGGAGGAGGAGCUUCAGGUUAAUACCCUGGAUGCUUGGACGUUACUCGCAGAAUAAGCACCGGCUAACUCUGUGCCAGCCGCCGCCGUAACAC